GACGAACGCUGGCGGCGCGCUUAACACAUGCAAGUCGAACGGAAAGGCCUGCUUUCCCUUGUGGAUUGCGGGUACUCGAGUGGCGAACGGGUGAGUAACACGUGAGUGAUCUGCCCCCAACUUGGGUAUAAGCCUGGGAAACUGGGUCUAAUUCCCGAUAGGACUGCAGGGUGGUGCCUGUGGUGGAAAACGAUUUUCUAGUGGUUGGGGAUGAGCUCGCGGCCUAUCAGCUUGUUGGUGGGGUAAUGGCCUACCAAGGCGGCGACGGGUAGCCGGCCUGAGAGGGUGGACGGCCCCAUUGGGACUGAGUUACGGCCCAGACUCCUGCGGGAGGCAGCAGUGGGGAAUAUUGCACCAUGGGCGGAAGCCUGAUGCAGCGACGCCGCGUGGGGGAUGACGGCCUUCGGGUUGUAAACUCCUUUCGACCGCGAGGAAGCCACCUGGUUGGAAGGGUGGUGACGGUAGUGGUAGAAGAAGCACCGGCUAACUACGUG
rnacentral:rRNA from 1 species